rnacentral:lncRNA from 1 species
AGCUGCUCAACGCGAUUUCCCUUCGCGCUUCUCCGCACCGGGAUCCCCAGUCCCUCAGGUUCCGACAGACCCUCCUGUCAGGCCCAUUCUCCGGGCCCCCUCAGUUGCAGUGUUAAGAUCAACAGUGUUAAGAUUAAAGCCUUGUGAUGUGCUAGCCACUACGCUGAGGAUAUGCCGUGUACUAAAAUUCCUCAGGACUCCUCACAGCUGCCCUGUAAGGAAGCGGCCAUGGCCGGGUUCUAGCGAUGCGAGGCCGAGGCUCGGGGCGCUGAGUAGCCUAGCGCGUCGCCGAGGAGAGCUGGCACGUGAACCCCUUGUCGUUUGCCGUCAGAGGUGUUAUGUGGUGGCCCUCAUUCUCCAUGCAUGGAGCAGACUCUAGGAUCUGCAGUUACUGUAUGAUGAGCCCUUCUGAGUAUUUUGCUUGGGUGGACAGUUUAUGUGUCAGGUAUGUGUAUUUAUAAUUAAAAUCAAAUAUUAUUACAUAGGCUUUGCACCUGGCGAGGUAACAUUGAGAGUAGUUAAUCUCUAGACUGGAAUCCAUCUGGAAGACCACUCAAUAACUUGUGAUUAGCUGGACCUGGUGAUGCAAGCCUGGAGUCCCAGUUACCCGGAGGCUGAGGUGGGAAUAUCGCUUGAGACCAGGAGUUUGAGGCUACAGUGAGCUGUGAUUGUACCACUGCACUCCAGCCUGGGUGACAGUGCAAGACCUCAUCUCUUAAAAAAAACAAACAACUCAAAAAACCUCAUCAUUGAGCACCUAUGAUGUGCCAGCAACUGUACUCAGUGGUGGGGACUUGACGACAAACAAACCAGGGAUGGGAUCCUUGAGCAGUCACCAUCUGACAAGUGACUGGGAAAGAUGAAUAAUGCCCUUCACCAAGAUUCUUCUCUGAUCCACAAAUUCAAUUACCAAUUUAUUUGUUCACUGCUCUUAAACUUAAAUAUUUUUUAGUAGGUAAUAAAGACAUGUUUAAACACUCUUAACUUUUAACAAUUUCUUUGUAAGUACUGUAAUAGUCUUCUUUUCCUUUAAAAAGAAAAAAUACAAAAAGAAGGAAAAGGAAAAUCUAUUCAAAAUAAAGUAUUCCAGAUAUCUGA